CCUUAUCUGUCUGGGGGCUGUGAGGUCCACGGAAUGACGCUGUAGCUGCCAUGGGACUGAAUGACUGACAGCCUGCUGUGAUUUAGGAAUGGCUGAUAAUAGUGGCAGAGACACCACUGCACAUAUGUUCUCAAGAGAAACAGUAAGAGGCCGGAGAUGUAGCUCAGUGGUUCCGCCACCUGCCUCGCAAGCACAAGGUCCCAGGCUCGAUUCCCGGUACCAAAAAAAAAAAGAAAAACAGUAAGAGGGCUUCAAGGAAGAGGACUGAACAGCACUCAUCACACACAGCUCAUCUUAAAUUCACCAGCUAAUUGGAGUGACUGACUGACUGCUAAUGAUCCUUACCCAGAGGAAAAUAUUGAAGUCGGAACCCGGGGGCACACAUGCUAAGUAGGCAUCCUACCACUGAGUUACAUCCCCAGGCUUUUUAUUUUUGCUUUCAGACAGGAUC
rnacentral:lncRNA from 1 species